rnacentral:rRNA from 1 species
UGCCAGCAGCCGCGGUAAUACGAGGGGGGCGAGCGUUGUUCGGAAUUAUUGGGCGUAAAGGGUGCGUAGGCGGUUUGGUAAGUCUURUGUGAAAUCUMYRGGCUCAACUYRKAGUCUGCAYGAGAAACUGCCGGGCUUGAGURUGGGAGAGGUGAGUGGAAUUCCUGGUGUAGCGGUGAAAUGCGUAGAUAUCAGGAGGAACACCUGUGGCGAAAGCGGCUCACUGGACCAYAACUGACGCUGAUGCACGAAAGCUAGGGGAGCAAACAGGAUUAGAUACCCUGGUAGUCCUAGCCCUAAACGAUGACUGCUUGGUGUGACGGGUACCCAAUCCCGCCGUGCCGUAGCUAACGCGUUAAGCAGUCCGCCUGGGGAGUACGGUCGCAAGGCUGAAACUCAAAGGAAUUGANCGGGGGCCCGCACAAG